GACGAACGCUGGCGGCGUGCCUAAUACAUGCCAGUCGAACGCACAGUUUAUACCGUAGCUUGCUACACCAUAGACUGUGAGUUGCGAACGGGUGAGUAACGCGUAGGUAACCUGCCUGGUAGCGGGGGAUAACUAUUGGAAACGAUAGCUAAUACCGCAUAAUAUUGAUUAUUGCAUGAUAAUUAAUUGAAAGGUGCAAUUGCACCACUACCAGAUGGACCUGCGUUGUAUUAGCUAGUAGGUGAGGUAACGGCUCACCUAGGCGACGAUACAUAGCCGACCUGAGAGGGUGAUCGGCCACACUGGGACUGAGACACGGCCCAGACUCCUACGGGAGGCAGCAGUAGGGAAUCUUCGGCAAUGGACGAAAGUCUGACCGAGCAACGCCGCGUGAGUGAAGAAGGUUUUCGGAUCGUAAAGCUCUGUUGUAAGAGAAGAACGGGGGUGAGAGUGGAAAGUUCACACUGUGACGGUAUCUUACCAGAAAGGGACGGCUAACUACGUG
rnacentral:rRNA from 1 species